UUUGAUCCUGGCUCAGAACGAACGCUGGCGGCGUGGAUAAGACAUGCAAGUCGAACGAGAUUUUCCGUUGUAGCAAUACGAUGGAAAGUCUAGUGGCGAACGGGUGCUUAACACGUGGGCAACCUGCCGAGAAGUGGGGGAUAGCUCGCCGAAAGGCGAAUUAAUACCGCAUGUGAUUAGAGUGGACAUCCAUUCGAAAUUAAAGUCGGGGCAACCUGACGCUUCUUGUGGGGCCCGCGGCCUAUCAGCUAGUUGGUGAGGUAACAGCUCACCAAGGCUUUGACGGGUAGCUGGUCUGAGAGGACGACCAGCCACACUGGGACUGAGACACGGCCCAGACACCUACGGGUGGCAGCAAUCGAGAAUUUUUGACAAUGGGGGAAACCCUGAUCGAGCGACGCCGCGUGGAAGAUGAAGGUCUUCGGAUUGUAGACUCCUGUCUUUGGGGAACGAUGCGUGACGCUUAACU
rnacentral:rRNA from 1 species